GCAUAUCAAUAAGCGGAGGAAAAGAAACCAACAGGGAUUGCCUUAGUAACGGCGAGUGAAGCGGCAAAAGCUCAAAUUUGAAAUCUGGCACCUUCGGUGUCCGAGUUGUAAUUUGAAGAAGGUAACUUUGGAGUUGGCUCUUGUCUAUGUUCCUUGGAACAGGACGUCACAGAGGGUGAGAAUCCCGUGCGAUGAGAUGCCCAAUUCUAUGUAAAGUGCUUUCGAAGAGUCGAGUUGUUUGGGAAUGCAGCUCUAAGUGGGUGGUAAAUUCCAUCUAAAGCUAAAUAUUGGCGAGAGACCGAUAGCGAACAAGUACAGUGAUGGAAAGAUGAAAAGAACUUUGAAAAGAGAGUGAAAAAGUACGUGAAAUUGUUGAAAGGGAAGGGCUUGAGAUCAGACUUGGUAUUUUGCGAUCCUUUCCUUCUUGGUUGGGUUCCUCGCAGCUUACUGGGCCAGCAUCGGUUUGGAUGGUAGGAUAAUGACUAAGGAAUGUGGCUCUACUUCGGUGGAGUGUUAUAGCCUUGGUUGAUACUGCCUGUCUAGACCGAGGACUGCGUCUUUUGACUAGGAUGUUGGCAUAAUGAUCUUAAGCCACCCGUCUUGA
rnacentral:rRNA from 1 species